GAUGAACGCUGGCGGCGUGCCUAAUACAUGCAAGUCGAGCGAACGGACGAGAAGCUUGCUUCUCUGAUGUUAGCGGCGGACGGGUGAGUAACACGUGGAUAACCUACCUAUAAGACUGGGAUAACUUCGGGAAACCGGAGCUAAUACCGGAUAAUAUUUUGAACCGCAUGGUUCAAAAGUGAAAGACGGUCUUGCUGUCACUUAUAGAUGGAUCCGCGCUGCAUUAGCUAGUUGGUAAGGUAACGGCUUACCAAGGCAACGAUGCAUAGCCGACCUGAGAGGGUGAUCGGCCACACUGGAACUGAGACACGGUCCAGACUCCUACGGGAGGCAGCAGUAGGGAAUCUUCCGCAAUGGGCGAAAGCCUGACGGAGCAACGCCGCGUGAGUGAUGAAGGUCUUCGGAUCGUAAAACUCUGUUAUUAGGGAAGAACAUAUGUGUAAGUAACUGUGCACAUCUUGACGGUACCUAAUCAGAAAGCCACGGCUAACUACGUGCCAGCAGCCGCGGUAAUACGUAGGUGGCAAGCGUUAUCCGGAAUUAUUGGGCGUAAAGCGCGCGUAGGCGGUUUUUUAAGUCUGAUGUGAAAGCCCACGGCUCAACCGUGGAGGGUCAUUGGAAACUGGAAAACUUGAGUGCAGAAGAGGAAAGUGGAAUUCCAUGUGUAGCGGUGAAAUGCGCAGAGAUAUGGAGGAACACCAGUGGCGAAGGCGACUUUCUGGUCUGUAACUGACGCUGAUGUGCGAAAGCGUGGGGAUCAAACAGGAUUAGAUACCCUGGUAGUCCACGCCGUAAACGAUGAGUGCUAAGUGUUAGGGGGUUUCCGCCCCUUAGUGCUGCAGCUAACGCAUUAAGCACUCCGCCUGGGGAGUACGACCGCAAGGUUGAAACUCAAAGGAAUUGACGGGGACCCGCACAAGCGGUGGAGCAUGUGGUUUAAUUCGAAGCAACGCGAAGAACCUUACCAAAUCUUGACAUCCUUUGACAACUCUAGAGAUAGAGCUUUCCCCUUCGGGGGACAAAGUGACAGGUGGUGCAUGGUUGUCGUCAGCCCGUGUCGUGAGAUGUUGGGUUAAGUCCCGCAACGAGCGCAACCCUUAAGCUUAGUUGCCAUCAUUAAGUUGGGCACUCUAAGUUGACUGCCGGUGACAAACCGGAGGAAGGUGGGGAUGACGUCAAAUCAUCAUGCCCCUUAUGAUUUGGGCUACACACGUGCUACAAUGGACAAUACAAAGGGCAGCGAAACCGCGAGGUCAAGCAAAUCCCAUAAAGUUGUUCUCAGUUCGGAUUGUAGUCUGCAACUCGACUACAUGAAGCUGGAAUCGCUAGUAAUCGUAGAUCAGCAUGCUACGGUGAAUACGUUCCCGGGUCU
rnacentral:rRNA from 1 species